AGGAGAGGAAGGGUGGUUGAAGGGCUGGUUAAUGAUGACAUCCUCAAAUCAUUGUUCAACAUCAAGCUGCCAGCACUCUGACCCCUUUGCAUGACCAUGAUGUGCAGAGGCAUCACCGGAAACCCCCAGUCGAGCGAAUCCUGACGGGCCAUUGGGUGAAGUCUGUCUGGAUAUUGGGAGUGGUUCAUAACAGAGGACAGAAAAUACAUGAGUAGAAUCCAUCGUGGUUUUGGCACUUGAGGACUUCAGAUGGGUUACCAAGGGAGUCCGUGCUACUGCAGCUGAGUUUGCAUUUGCAUACAGUCCUCAUAUUUCUCCAGUUCUGAAGAAGGCACACGCUGACACUGGCACACACUGCCUGUUUGACACUCUCAGUUUUUCCCUUGCCCUGAUAAAAUA